AACCUAAUUUUACAAACCUGAUUUCACUCUGUUCUCUCAUUUCUGCCGCAUACAUUCCUCUCUUAUCAUCACUUUCUUUCAUUUCUUAAUCAUUAUAUUUUCUUUUCAUUUGAUCGAGUUAGUGAAGACUGUUAGGAGUGGCUUUCAACGAGUUUGUUCAUGGCGAAUUUUUGCCGGCGAUCUUCUCUCCUAAGCGUUUCUUUUUAUUAUUAGAAUGAAGAAGAAAAAAAAAGUGAUCGGAGAUGACGAACAGAGGUAUGGGUCUUUAAUCAAAUCGGUUCGGCUUUUAAGAAUUCGAUUGGCUUUGAUGGGUUUUGAAAAUCAGCGAGUACGUCAGAUUGACAGAUUUGAAGAGAUAGAAAGAAAGAAGUAAUUUCAGAUUUGAGGAGUUAAGUUCUAGCUUUAAUGUUUGAUAUUCUUUGUAUUCAUUCGUAUGGGACUUAAAGUGUGAUUUUUUGUUUUCUAUUUUCAUUCUCAUAAUCAUAUUUGAUAACAAGCGUUACCACAACAGAAGAGAAAAGGGGCUAAAAGAAAAUAAACUCUGCCUACUGUGUUUGUUUUCCUUGGUGGGGCUCAAAAUUGAGAUUGAUUGAUAUUUGGGGUGUGACAGGAUUGUGAUUUUCUGUUUUAUCUAUCUGUUGACUUAAUCAAAACAAUGGCGUUAAACUUGCCGGAAUUACAGCAAGCUCAAUGCAUCCUCAAGCUCAGUGAGGCCAAAGAUAACAGAGCAAUUGAAUAUGUUUUCUUUUGGUUGAUUUAUGAGUUUUCUGGUUUAAAAUUGAUUGAAAAAUUUCUUAUUCUCUCUUGGUUGACAGAAUCUAUUGAGACAAAGGAGGAAGUACCAUAAAAAUGGACUCUGGGGAUUCACAUUUUGAAGAAUGAAGAAGAAGAAAAAAAGUGAUCGGAGAUGACGAACGGAGGUAUGGGGCUUUAAUCAAAUCGGUUCGGCUUUGAUUUGUUUAGGCCAUGGAUUUCCUUUGAUUUUAAGGAUUCGAUUGGCUUUGAUGGAUUUUGAAAAUCAGUGAGUACAUCAGAUUGACAGAUUUGAAGAGAUAGAAAGAAAGAAGUAAUUUCAGAUUUGAGGAGUUAAGAUUUGAUAACAAGCGUUACCACAACUGAAGAGAAAAGGGGCUAAAAAAAACUAAACUCUGCCUACUUUGUUGGUUUUUCCUUGGUGGGGCUCAAAAUUGAGAUUGAUUGAUAUUUGGGGUGUGAUAGGAUUGUGAUUUUCUGUUUCAUCUAUCUGUUCAACUUAAUCGAAACAAUGGCGAUAGACUUGCCGGAAUAUCAGCAAGCUCAAUGCAUCCUCAAGCUCAUUGAGGCCAAAGAAACUAUUGAGACAAAGGAGGGAGUACCAUAAAAAUGGACUUUGGGGAUUCACAUUUUGAAGAGUUUGGAGUGUCUCCAUGCUAAAAAGAGAAGAGAAAAAUGGAGAGCUGAAUUUCAGCUAAGUUGAAGAAAAUGGAAGAAGAAAAAUAAUUUGUGGAGAGUUUCUCUAGGCAUAUUGCUAUUGGAUUCCCUGAUGAUCUAUUUUUUUCAAUGAAUUGGGGCUGUUUAUAUAGCAAAUGACAGUGGUAGUUUUGUAAAUAUAGAAAAUUUAAUUAAUUAGGCUUAAUUGUAUUUAAUUUGAUGUAAUGUUGAUUAAAACUUCUCAAACCACAUUUAUAGCAUUCAAUCAUAUUUAAGCUACAAUGUUUUCACUAUUCUGAAACACUGUAGCAAAUAGUGCCACAAAAGACAAAAAUUGAUGUAAAUUAUUUGUUUUA